UACGGAGGGAGCUAGCGUUGUUCGGAAUUACUGGGCGUAAAGCGCGCGUAGGCGGCUAUUCAAGUCAGAGGUGAAAGCCCGGGCUCAACCCGGAACUGCCUUGAACUAGGUAGCUAGAAUCUUGGAGAGGUCAGUGGAAUUCCGAGUGUAGAGGUGAAAUUCGUAGAUAUUCGGAAGAACACCAGUGGCGAAGGCGACUGACUGGACAGUAUUGACGCUGAGGUGCGAAAGCGUGGGAGCAACAGG
rnacentral:rRNA from 1 species